UCUACGGGCGGCAGCAGUGAGGAAUAUUGGUCAAUGGGCGCAAGCCUGAACCAGCCAAGUCGCGUGAGGGAUGACGGUCCUAUGGAUUGUAAACCGCUUUUGUCGGGGAGCAAGGCCCGCCACGUGUGGCGGGAAGGAGAGUACCCGAAAAAAAAGCAUCGGCUAAUUCCGUGCCAGCAGACGCGGUAAGACGGAGGGUGCGAACGUUAUCAGGAUGUAUUGGGUUUAAAGGGUGCGUAGGCGGAAGGUUAAGUGAGCGGUCAAAUGUCGGUGCUCACCAGCGGCUUGCCGUGGAAACUGGUCUUCUUGAGUGAGCGAGAAGUAUGCGGAAUGCGUGGUGUAGCGGUGAAAUGCAUAGAUAUCACGCAGAACGCAGAUUGCGAAGGCAGCAUACCGGCGCUCAACUGACGCUGAGGCACGAAAGCGUGGGGAUCGAACAGGAUUAGAUACCCGGGUAGUC
rnacentral:rRNA from 1 species